GCGCUACUUUUGCCUCAGUUGAGUUGAUGCUUUGCAAAGGACAGUCAUCCUCAUGUUCAAAUAAAUCACUUUGAGUGGACAAAGAAGACAUUCUGUGUCCAAUCUGAAGGGUGCCUGAAAGCACAAUGGAUAGAAAUCAUAAACCGUUGAGAAAAAUUAUUCUAAAAGCUGGGACCCUCCAAGCUAGUGCUGGAGAGCAGGUCCUCCAGACAGACAUCACUGACCAUGAUGGACUAAGGCUGCCAGCCCUGGUAGACUGCCCCAUUGACAGCCCCCUAAAGGCUGGGACCCUCCAAGCUAGUGCUAGAGAGCAAGUGCUCCAGACAGAUGUCCAUUCGGCUGGCCAUGAUGGACUAAGCCUGCCAGCCCUGG